CAUAUAUAUCUAUACAUGGUAUCCCUUUCGCUCUUACUUCUCAUUCUGAGCUCAUGGAUUCCUGAACUCUCAUUUUUGGUUGGUCAAUGUAGUUUUGUAGGCAGCAUCAAGUCUUCUCUGGUAAUGACAGUGAACCUUGUUUAUCUAGAACAGUCAUUACUUUAUGCUACUUUUUUUCUUAAUAGUUCUAUGUUAACUUUCUUACUUGGUGAUAUGUUUAUACGUUACCCACUUAUGUUUAUGUCAAUGGACGUGCAAAUGGAGGCAAUGUUUUGCCACUGGAACGCUUCGUUUAAUUUUUAUUGUUACUUGUGAGAGCAAAAACACAUAAGACGCCAGCUACGUUCCUUCCUUGGCUGAGUUUAUUCACUUCUUCUUAUGUUUUGUCCUUGCACCACUGAAGACCUUUGUGCGCGGUUUACCCAUACUUUCCUAUAUGUUGGUGCAGUCUAGCAUGCAGCUUUGAUAUCCUGAACCCUUGAGGGAAUGCAGUUCCCUGACUUAUAACGUUAAUCAUGGGACAUGUUGCUUUAUCAACAUCGUAAAUUCAAGGUACCAUGGAGAUUCAUGGUUUACCUUGGGAUCUACUGUCAGACUCCUUAGAAAAUUUAGUAACCUGGCUUAUUUAGUCUUCUAUAUAUAUUAUAUAUAGAUCCUCUUAGUAUCCUUUACUGCAUCCUGACAGUGAGUACUGUAUUAUUUCUUGAUAUUAAUGUUUUUAUGCAAUUACUCAGACUUAUACUGUCAAUUCAAAUAAAUUAGCAGAUUCCACCAUUGCAGUAAUGAUAACAGGAUGGAUACUGGGAAGACUCUUCAUGGUACUACCGACGUUACAGAUAAUGAAUCACGGCUUCCAAGAAAUCGUCUUCUGGUUAUAUCGCUCGAUUUACCACAAAAUCCUUUGCAUUAAUCUGGUAUCCAAUCGGAAUAGGAUUCCUUUGAUACUUGCCAUGUAUGAUUGACCUUAUCGAAUGGUAUCUACAACGUCCACACAUCCUGAGAUGAGUUUUAUUUGUUAAAGAGACGUUUGUAUGCUGUGUCAAGGAAGCAUCAUCAUUGGUCCAGUCAUCAAGAUGGCUUGUGAUACUGUCAUGACCCUAAAUAAGUUUGGGAUCUAACAAAGUGACAAAGCCCAUGUUCUACAGGGAAAUUAUUAUUUGCAGAAACAGUUAGAAAUGAAUGAUCACCUUCAUCGUGUUACAUUGUCGCUGUCGAACGUAAUGAGAGUUCAUCAACUGUGCAUAACCUUCGUCACGCCAGUCACGUAUUUGAAGUACGGAACAAUUUUCAUCGCUAGAGCAGCAAUUCAAUGUCAAAUCGUUACAGGAAGUAUCAUCUGGGAGUGGCUCGUAUUAUUUGAUUAACUAUAUAGUUAAUUGUAGACUUGCUAUAUCCAAUUCUAAUUUAUGGUCAGUAUAUAAUGUAAUGAAUCCACUGAGAAUUCUAUACCUGUGUAUACUUUUCAUUAGUAGGAUCUUAGCAGUGGGCAACUGGCCAGUUUCAAAAGAUAAACUCUACAUUACCAUUUUCACGUAAUUCAUUUAUGCAUGAUUUGCCUUUGGCAACGUAAACCAAAUGUAAAAAUUUGGCAUCGGCUACGAGUCAGAGGUCAAUGAUUAAAGUAUUGAACUAAAGAUAUACAUGUAUGACGUUAACCGCAAAAAGCUCUUGUAUCACGAAAGAUUUAUUAUGUGAUAUUAAAAAGGGAUCUGUGUUAAUUAUUAAAAUUAACCAUGCGCCUCAACUCUGAUAUAUAUAAUAUACACGUAUAUGGUAUACACUGACAUGAGUCUAGAGAUUUCGUAACACCUUGACAAUAUGUAUUAACACUACUACAGUCCGUAUACAGAAUACUAUACUAUAGCAGUCGAUUAUUCCGUAAUUUCCCCUUCUGUAAAAGGAAGAGAAUCUACAGUCCAUAUCACUUUCUGUACCCACAUAAGCAUAUGGGUAUGCCUAUAGAUAUAGUAUUUAUGGAUAACGUAUGUCUCCUACAGUCUUACACAGAAAUAGAUCAUGACUCAAUAUUUAGGCAGGACUGAUUUACUACCGCGUUAAACGGAAUUGUGAAAUAGAAUAAUACUGGCGAAUCUCCAUCGAAUUUUAUUAUUUUUGACACUUUAAAUAUCCUUGACCAUAUUAAAGCGAUGAACUCUCAGUGAUGACCGCAAUAUAAUUGUUUUGUCAGAUAUUUAAAUUUUGAUCGGUAUUUUCAAACAAUGUAUAUAAACAUUUGAUAGUGAAGCGUUUCAUACUUUGACAUAUUUCUUUGACUUCUGUUAUCAAAAUGAUAUAAAAAAGACAUAUGGGUCUGACGAUAUCAUCAUGAUUAAAUGACAAUAGGUCAUUUAAUGAUAGUGAAGUAUGAAAAGGAAAAGGAAUAUCUUUGUUGAAAAAGAAAAGAAAAUUAGAACAGUGGAUU